UCCCUGGUGGUCCAGUGGUUAGGGACUCUGCACUUACACUGCCAAGGGCCCAGGUUCAAUCCCUGGUUGGGGAA